rnacentral:rRNA from 1 species
GCAUGGGGGAAACCCUGACGCAGCAACGCCGCGUGAAGGAUGAAGGUCUUCGGCAUUGUAAACUUCUUUUAUUAAGGACGAAGAAAGUGACGGUACUUAAUGAAUAAGCUCCGGCUAACUACGUGCCAGCAGCCGCGGUAAUACGUAGGGAGCAAGCGUUGUCCGGAUUUACUGGGUGUAAAGGGUGCGUAGGCGGCUUUGCAAGUCAGAUGUGAAAUCUAUGGGCUCAACCCAUAGCCUGCAUUUGAAACUGCAGAGCUUGAGUGAAGUAGAGGCAGGCGGAAUUCCCCGUGUAGCGGUGAAAUGCGUAGAGAUGGGGAGGAACACCAGUGGCGAAGGCGGCCUGCUGGGCUUUAACUGACGCUGAGGCACGAAAGCGUGGGUAGCAAACAGGAUUAGAUACCCUGGUAGUCCAAGGGCGAAUUC